rnacentral:rRNA from 1 species
AUUGAACGCUGGCGGCAUGCUUUACACAUGCAAGUCGAACGGUAACAGGCCUUCGGGUGCUGACGAGUGGAGAACGGGUGAGUAAUGCAUCGGAACGUACCCAGAGGUGGGGGAUAACGCAGCGAAAGCUGUGCUAAUACCGCAUGUGAUCUGAGGAUGAAAGCGGGGGACCGAGCAGCAAUGUUUGGCCUCGCGCCUUUGGAGCGGCCGAUGUCGGAUUAGCUAGUUGGUGGGGUAAAGGCCUACCAAGGCGACGAUCCGUAGCUGGUCUGAGAGGACGACCAGCCACACUGCGACUGAGACACGGCCCAGACUCCUACGGGAGGCAGCAGUGGGGAAUUUUGGACAAUGGGCGCAAGCCUGAUCCAGCAAUGCCGCGUGCGGGAAGAAGGCCUUCGGGUUGUAAACCGCUUUUGGCAGGAACGAAACGGUGUCCGCUAAUACCGGGCGCUAAUGACGGUACCUGCAGAAUAAGCACCGGCUAACUACGU